GCCGUACUGCGCGCAGCCUGAUGCAGCCAUGCCGCGUGUAUGAAGAAGGCCUUCGGGUUGUAAAGUUCUUUCAUCGGGGAAGAAGGGAGUAGAGUUUGAAUCUUUGCUCAUUGACGUUACCCGGACAAAAAGCACCGGCUAAAUCCGUGCCAGCAGCCGCGGUAAU
rnacentral:rRNA from 1 species